rnacentral:rRNA from 1 species
CAAGUCGAACGUGAAAGUUCUUCGGAAUGAGUAAAGUGGCGCACGGGUGAGUAAUGCUUGGGUAACGUACCAUUUCGCUGGGGAUAACUAGGGGAAACUUUAGCUAAUACCGAAUACACCUUCAGGAUGAUUUCUUGAAGGAAAAGCCGCAAGGCGCGAAGUGACCGGCCCAAGUCUCAUUAGCUUGUUGGUGGGGUAAUGGCCUACCAAGGCGACGAUGGGUAGCUGAUUUGAGAGGAUGAUCAGCCACACUGGUACUGGAACACGGACCAGACUCCUACGGGAGGCAGCAGUUAGGAAUUUUGCGCAAUGGGGGUAACCCUGACGCAGCAACGCCGCGUGAGUGAUGAAGGCCUUCGGGUUGUAAAGCUCUUUUAGCAGGAAAGAUAAUGACGGUACCUGCAGAAAAAGCACCGGCUAACUCCGUGCCAGCAGCCGCGGUAAUACGGAGGGUGCAAGCGUUAUUCGGAUUGACUGGGCGUAAAGCGCAUGUAGGUGGUUUACUAAGUCUGAUGUGAAAUCCCUGAACUCAAUUCAGGACCUGCAUUGGAUACUGGUAAGCUAGAGUAUAGGAGAGGAAAGCGGAAUUCCAGGUGUAGAGGUGAAAUUCGUAGAUAUCUGGAGGAACAACAGAGGCGAAGGCGGCUUUCUGGACUAUAACUGACACUGAGAUGCGAAAGCGUGGGGGAGCAAACAGGAUUAGAUACCCUGGUAGUCCACGCUGUAAACGAUGGAUACUAGAUGUCGGAAGUUCUUACCCUUUCGGUGUCGUAGCUAACGCGUUAAGUAUCCCGCCUGAGGACUACGGUCGCAAGAUUAAAACUCAAAGAAAUUGACGG